CCUACGGGAGGCUGCAGUGGGGAAUAUUGCACAAUGGGGGAAACCCUGAUGCAGCCAUGCCGCGUGUGUGAAGAAGGCCUUCGGGUUGUAAAGCACUUUCAGCGAGGAGGAAAGGUCAGUAGCUAAUAUCUGCUGGCUGUGACGUUACUCGCAGAAGAAGCACCGGCUAACUCCGUGCCAGCAGCCGCGGUAAUACGGAGGGUGCAAGCGUUAAUCGGAAUUACUGGGCGUAAAGCGCACGCAGGCGGUUGGAUAAGUUAGAUGUGAAAGCCCCGGGCUCAACCUGGGAAUUGCAUUUAAAACUGUCCAGCUAGAGUCUUGUAGAGGGGGGUAGAAUUCCAGGUGUAGCGGUGAAAUGCGUAGAGAUCUGGAGGAAUACCGGUGGCGAAGGCGGCCCCCUGGACAAAGACUGACGCUCAGGUGCGAAAGCGUGGGGAGCAAACAGGAUUAGAUACCCGUGUAGUC
rnacentral:rRNA from 1 species